rnacentral:rRNA from 1 species
ACGGGAGGCAGCAGUGGGGAAUAUUGGGCAAUGGGCGAAAGCCUGACCCAGCAAUGCCGCGUGAAGGAAGAAGGUCUUCGGAUUGUAAACUUCUUUUAUGAGGGACGAAGGAUUUGACGGUACCUCAUGAAUAAGCCACGGCUAACUACGUGCCAGCAGCCGCGGUAAUACGUAGGUGGCAAGCGUUAUCCGGAUUUACUGGGUGUAAAGGGCGCGUAGGCGGGGAAGCAAGUCAGAUGUGAAAUCCAUGGGCUCAACUUAUGAACUGCAUUUGAAACUGUUUCUCUUGAGUGCUGGAGAGGUAGAUGGAAUUCCUAGUGUAGCGGUGAAAUGCGUAGAUAUUAGGAAGAACACUAGUGGCGAAGGCGAUCUACUGGACAGUAACUGACGCUGAGGCGCGAAAGCGUGGGGAGCAAACAGGAUUAGAUACCCUGGUA